UACGGAGGGGGCGAGCGUUGUCCGGAAUCAUUGGGCGUAAAGGGCGCGUAGGCGGCCUUCUAAGUCGAACGUGAAAUCCCCGGGCUCAACCCGGGAACUGCGUCCGAUACUGGAAGGCUUGAAUCCGGGAGAGGGAUGCAGAAUUCCUGGUGUAGCGGUGAAAUGCGCAGAUAUCAGGAGGAACACCGGUGGCGAAGGCGGGUCUCUGGACAGUUCCUGACGCUGAGGCACGAAGGUCAGGGGAGCAAACGGG
rnacentral:rRNA from 1 species